rnacentral:tRNA from 1 species
GCCUGGCUGGCUCAGUCGGUUGAGCAUCUGACUCUUAAUCUCAGCUCAGGUCAUGAUCCCAGGGUCGUGGGAUCGAGCCCCAUGUCGGGCU